rnacentral:rRNA from 1 species
GGCCUACGGGGGGCAGCAGUGAGGAAUAUUGGUCAAUGGGAGAGAUCCUGAACCAGCCAAGCCGCGUGAGGGAAGACGGCCCUAUGGGUUGUAAACCUCUUUUGUCGGAGAACAAAACCCGGGACGAGUCCCGGACUGCGUGUAUCCGAAGAAAAAGCAUCGGCUAACUCCGUGCCAGCAGCCGCGGUAAUACGGAGGAUGCGAGCGUUAUCCGGAUUUAUUGGGUUUAAAGGGUGCGCAGGCGGCGUGUCAAGUCAGCGGUAAAAUGUCGGGGCUCAACCCCGGCCGGCCGUUGAAACUGGCGU